rnacentral:lncRNA from 1 species
AGACUACCAUUCCAUUAACUAAAUUUGAGCCUUUAUCCAAUUAUUUGCCCUCUUAUUUGGUUCUAUUUCAACAAACGUUUUACAUGUUUUAAUUGAAAAAAAUAUAUCAUUGUUUUAUUCAAAUCUUUCAUAAAUUGUUUUUAAACAAAGUGAACAUUCACAGAGAUGAGGGGAUAUUGAGGAUGUCUUCAGUGCUCUCCCAAGGAUGGUAAGAUUCUCGACAGGGUGAGACAUUUGUUCGUAUUCCUGGCAUGCUUGUAUCCUUUUU